rnacentral:rRNA from 1 species
UACAACUUUCAGCAACGGAUCUCUUGGCUCUCGCAUCGAUGAAGAACGCAGCGAAUUGCGAUAAGUAAUGUGAAUUGCAGAUUUCCAGUGAAUCAUCGAAUCUUUGAACGCAUCUUGCGCUCCUUGGUAUUCCGAGGAGCAUGCCUGUUUGAGUGUCAUUG